rnacentral:rRNA from 1 species
GACGAACGCUGGCGGCGUGCUUAACACAUGCAAGUCGAACGGUAAGGCCCUUCGGGGUACACGAGUGGCGAACGGGUGGGUAACACGUGGGUGAUCUGCCCUGCACUUCGGGAUAAGCCUGGGAAACUGGGUCUAAUACCGGAUAGGACCCUGGGAUGCAUGUCCUGGGGUGGAAAGCUUUUGCGGUGUGGGAUGGGCCCGCGGCCUAUCAGCUUGUUGGUGGGGUGAUGGCCUACCAAGGCGACGACGGGUAGCCGGCCUGAGAGGGUAACCGGCCACACUGGGACUGAGAUACGGCCCAGACUCCUACGGGAGGCAGCAGUGGGGAAUAUUGCACAAUGGGGGCAAGCCUGAUGCAGCGACGCCGCGUGAGGGAUGACGGCCUUCGGGUUGUAAACCUCUUUCAGCACCGACGAAGCGCAAGUGACGGUAGGUGCAGAAGAAGGACCGGCCAACUACGUGCCAGCCGCCGCGGUAA